AGAUUGAACGCUGGCGGCAGGCCUAACACAUGCAAGUCGAGCGGCAGCACGGGUACUUGUACCUGGUGGCGAGCGGCGGACGGGUGAGUAAUGCCUAGGAAUCUGCCUGGUAGUGGGGGAUAACGCUCGGAAACGGACGCUAAUACCGCAUACGUCCUACGGGAGAAAGCAGGGGACCUUCGGGCCUUGCGCUAUCAGAUGAGCCUAGGUCGGAUUAGCUAGUUGGUGAGGUAAUGGCUCACCAAGGCGACGAUCCGUAACUGGUCUGAGAGGAUGAUCAGUCACACUAGGAACUGAGACGACGGUCCAGACUCCGUACGGGAGGCAGCAGGUGGGGAAUAGUUGGACAAGUGGGACGAAAGCCUGAUCCAGCCAUGCGCGUGUG
rnacentral:rRNA from 1 species